AGUGAACGCUGGCGGUAGGCCUAACACAUGCCAGUCGAACGGCAGCACAGUAAGAGCUUGCUCUUACGGGUGGCGAGUGGCGGACGGGUGAGGAAUACAUCGGAAUCUACUUUUUCGUGGGGGAUAACGUAGGGAAACUUACGCUAAUACCGCAUACGACCUACGGGUGAAAGCAGGGGAUCUUCGGACCUUGCGCGAUUGAAUGAGCCGAUGUCGGAUUAGCUAGUUGGCGGGGUAAAGGCCCACCAAGGCGACGAUCCGUAGCUGGUCUGAGAGGAAGAUCAGCCACACUGGAACUGAGACACGGUCCAGACUCCUACGGGAGGCAGCAGUGGGGAAUAUUGGACAAUGGGCGCAAGCCUGAUCCAGCCAUACCGCGUGGGUGAAGAAGGCCUUCGGGUUGUAAAGCCCUUUUGUUGGGAAAGAAAAGCAGCAGGUUAAUACCCCGCUGUUCUGACGGUACCCAAAGAAUAAGCACCGGCUAACUUCGUG
rnacentral:rRNA from 1 species